GUGGGGAAUAUUGGGCAAUGGGGGCAACCCUGACCCAGCGACGCCGCGUGGGUGAAGAAAUCCCUCGGGAUGUAAAGCCCUGUUGUAUGGGAAGAGCAGAAGACGGUACCAUACGAGGAAGCCCCGGCAAACUACGUGCCAGCAGCCGCGGUAAUACGUAGGGGGCAAGCGUUGUCCGGAAUUACUGGGCGUAAAGCGCACGCAGGCUGAAUUAUAAGUCGGUAGUCAAAUACGGAGGCUCAACUUCCGGAUAUCUAUCGAUACUGUAAAUCUAGAGUAUGUGAGAGGGAAGCGGAAUUCCCGGUGUAGCGGUGAAAUGCGUAGAUAUCAGGAGGAACACCAGUGGCGAAGGCGGCUUCCUGGCACAAUACUGACGCUCAUGUGCGAAAGCUAGGGCAGCGAACGGGAUUAGAAACCCGUGUAGUCC
rnacentral:rRNA from 1 species